GGUUGGGCGUAAUUGGACAGGUGAGGACGCACUUCCGAAUCAGUUAGACUGGUGACUUGCUGUGUAAAAGCAGUAUAUUGACUGCUUUUACAAAUUCAAGUUCAAUAUUGAGCAUUAAAUCUCUUAAAUGUUAAUAAGCCGCGAGAAUGUUUACCGCGUUCGUUUGGCUCAUGUCAUGGAGGAUGAGAGAAUCUGGGCCGACAGAGACACUGAUCGCCCCGGGCUGGAUGAACACCGCCUUAAAACAAAUAUAGAGGACUGUGAAGCGUUUGGUGGACUUUACUGCACAUCUGAAGGGUUGGCUGAAGCUCUUAGAUCUGUUGCAAGCUUACAGUUAUGGAACUUUAUGGGGUUUUCUCUGCCUGUGUCCUCCCUCUUCUCUCUGGAGAGCUCCAGUCUGAAAUCUUCUGACAUGCACUGUGAGGUGUGAGGUGAAAAGAUGCUACCAAUGUCAGUUCUCCACAAGAGGAAACGUACGUUGCCCCGUUUGAAUCGGAGUACAUCAACAGUUGUAAGUUUACAGAUGAAUCUCACCAAAUGGUCAACCAGAUACUCUAGCCUGGUCACAUUUCAUCCAUCGAAGACUGAAAAGAAAAGGAUAAUUUGCUUAACCUUAUAAGGCCUACUGUAUUAUAUUUGAUACACAAAUUUCUAAAGCCUCUAAAUGAU